rnacentral:rRNA from 1 species
AAACUAACUAGGAUUCCCUUAGUAACUGCGAGUGAAGAGGGAAAAGCUCAAAUUUGUAAUCUGGCAGGCCUUGACUGUCCGAGUUGUAAUCUAGAGAAGUGCUACCUGCACUGGACCAUGUACAAGUCUUCUGGAAUGGAGCAUCAUAGAGGGUGAGAAUCCCGUCUUUGACAUGGACUGCCAGAGCUCUAUAGGUGUGCUCUCAAAGAGUCGAGUUGUUUGGGAAUGCAGCUCAAAAUGGGUGGUAAAUGCCAUCUAAAGCUAAAUAUUGGCGAGAGACCGAUAGCGAACAAGUACCGUGAGGGAAAGAUGAAAAGAACUUUGGAAAGAGAGUUAAACAGUACGUGAAAUUGCUGAAAGGGAAACGCUUGAAGUCAGUCAUAUCAGUUGGAAAUCAACCUUGCUUUUGCUGGGUGUACUUUCUGUCUGAUAGGUCAGCAUCAAUUUUGAUUGCUGGAAAAAGUUCUUGGGAAUGUGGCAUCUUUUGGAUGUGUUAUAGCCCUUGGACAUAUACAGUGGUCGAGAUUGAGGAACUCAGCACGCCAUAAGGNUGGGCUUGUCCACAAAUACGUGCUUAGGAUGCUGGCAUAAUGGCUUUAAUCGACCCGUCUUGAAACACGGACCAAGGAGUCUAACAUGCCUGCAAGUGUUUUGAGUGGAAAACUCAUGCGCGUAAUGAAAGUGAUAGUUGAGAUCCCUUUUGGGGAGCAUCGAUGCCCAGACCAGACCUUUUGUGACGGAUCUGCGGUAGAGCAUGUAUGUUGGGACCCGAAAGAUGGUGAACUAUGCCUGAAUAGGGUGAAGCCAGAGGAAACUCUGGUGGAGGCUCGUAGCGAUUCUGACGUGCAAAUCGAUCGUCAAAUUUGGGUAUAGGGGCGAAAGACUAAUCGAAC